UACGGGGGGGCAAGCGUUGUUCGGAAUUACUGGGCGUAAAGGGCUCGUAGGCGGCCAACUAAGUCAGACGUGAAAUCCCUCGGCUUAACCGGGGAACUGCGUCUGAUACUGGAUGGCUUGAGAUUGGGAGAGGGAUGCGGAAUUCCAAGGUGUAGCGGUGAAAUGCGUAGAUAUCUGGAGGAACACCGGUGGCGAAGGCGGCAUCCUGGACCGACACUGACGCUGAGGAGCGAAAGCCAGGGGAGCAAACGGG
rnacentral:rRNA from 1 species